rnacentral:lncRNA from 1 species
UAAUUACAUUAGAUGUAUGUUUCAUUAUAAUACUUUAUUCUGAUUGGCUAACUGCACAUCACGUGUUAUUCCGUAAGCAGUUGCAUUGCUCAAUACAACUUUUUAUUCAUAAUACGCGUGGUAAAACAAUAAAGUGCACAGGUGAAUUAAAUAAAAAAAAUAUAUAAAAUUCGUGUUUUCAUGAUCAUAGCUAAAAAAUGUAAUUAUAAGUAUUGAAUGCUUCUUUUUGUAACUUU